GACUUGGGGGGGGACGGUGUCAGCGCCUCCCGGGUGGCUCGAGAUCCCCCCCGGUCUCCAGCAUCACCGUGGGAGCGAGGGGCGGUGGCAGCGGGGCUCGCUUGGCUCCCUCUCCUCUCCCCGCCGCCCCCGGCUCCCCAGGGCCCCCCCUCCUGCGCGGCUGCGCCACCUUAAGCGGGAGAACGGGGCGCUCGGAGCCGGGAGCCGGCUCUGCAGCCGGGGUCCCGCCGGUGCCUCCCGCAUCCUCCCGGUACCGACCCCCAUGGGGGGCGAGCGCAGCAUCCCCCGACGGCAGCUGCCUCCGCCCCGCUUCAGCAUACGUCGCCUCCUCCAGGGACCCCCGGGAGCUCCGGGGCAUCGCCUCCUCCAGGGACUCCCGGAAUCUCCGGGGCAUCGCCUCCUCCAGGGACCCCCGGGAUCUCCGGGGCAUCGCCUCCCCCCAGGACCCCCGGGAGCGCCGGGGCAUCGCCUCCCCCCAGGACCCCCGGGAGCUCCGGGGCAUCGCCUCCUCCAGGGACUCCCGGGAGCUCCGGGGCAUCGCCUCCUCCCGAGACCCCCGGGAUCUCCAGGGCAUCGCCUCCCCCCGGGACUCCCAGGAACUCGGGGGCAUCGCCUCCCCCCGGGAACCUCGGGAGCUUCGGGGCAUCGCCUCUUCCAGGGACCCCCGGGAGUUCCGGGGCAUCCGCACCCCAAGGAUGUUCCCGCAGGGUCGGCAGCCGCAGCCGUUCAAGUUCUCUGUGGUGGAAAUCUGCGAUCGUAUCAAGGAGGAAUUUCAGUUCCUGCAGGCGCAAUACCACGGCCUGAAGCUGGAAUGUGAGAAGCUGGCGAGCGAGAAGACAGAGAUGCAGAGACAUUAUGUCAUGUACUACGAGAUGUCCUACGGGCUCAACAUCGAGAUGCACAAGCAGGCAGAGAUUGUCAAGAGGCUGAGUGCCAUCUGCGCCCAGAUGAUUCCCUUUCUGACGCAGGAGCACCAGCAGCAGGUCCUGCAGGCUGUGGAGCGGGCCAAGCAGGUGACCAUGGGGGAACUGAACAGCAUCGUCGGGCAGCAGCAGCUUCAGCACCUCUCCCAUCACGCAUCCCCCAUCCCGCUGACAUCUCACUCCUCUGGCAUGCAGCCUUCUGGCCUGAGCGGGGCCAGCACCACCUCGAGCCUCCUGACCCUCUCAGGGGCACUGAUGGCACAGUCACAGAUGGUCAACAAGGAGGACAGAGUGGUCCAGGAUGGGGAGAACAGAGAGCGCACUCCAAGCCGGAGCAUCUCUGCUUCCCCUCCUGAGAGCUUGCAGGACGAGGAGCGGACAGGAGGCGCGGGGCUGAAGCGGAAGCGGGAGGAGAAGGACCUGCCUGGACAUUAUGAUAGCGAUGGGGAUAAAAGUGACUGCAACCUCGUGGUGGAUGAGGACCCCACCUCGGAGCCCGGCAGCCCCAUCAACCUGCUGCCACCAUCCUCCCGGGAGAUACCCGAGAGCCCUGCCUCCAGCACCUCCAGCCGGAGCACGACACCCCUCAAGCCAAAGGAACGGAAUCCGACCGAGCCUGCCGCCAGCACUCCCACCUCCAAGCCCUCCAUUCCCUCGCCAGCCGGAGAUUCCCUCACGCCCGGCCCCGGAACCAGCUCGGCCACCCUGCUCCGACAGCCGCCUGCCAAAGCACCGGCCACCGACACCAUCACUCUCCGCAGCCCACUGAGCAUCUCCAACCCUUACACGUCCUCCUUUGGGAUGGUGCCUCAUGCCAGCCUCAACGGGGAGCUCCCAGCCCCCGGCAUGUACAUGGGCAUCCACCUCUCGCCGCAGGUCAGCAGCGCCGUGGUGUACGGCCGGUCCCCGAUGGUGGCUUUUGAGUCCCAUCCUCAUUUGAGGACUUCCAGCAUCUCAUCUUCACUCUCCACCAUCCCUGGAGGGAAACCCGCCUACUCCUUCCACGUCAGCGCUGACGGGCAGAUGCAGCCGGUGCCUUUCCCACCCGACGCCCUCAUCGGCUCCGGCAUUCCCCGCCACGCGCGGCAGCUCCACACCUUGACCCACGGCGAGGUGGUUUGCGCCGUCACCAUCAGCAACUCCACACAGCACGUCUACACGGGUGGCAAGGGCUGCGUGAAGGUGUGGGAUGUGGGGCAGCCGGGCACCAAGACGGCGGUGGCUCAGCUGGACUGUUUGAACCGCGACAACUACAUCCGCUCCUGCAAGCUGCUCCCCGACGGCCGGAGCCUGAUCGUGGGAGGGGAGGCCAGCACCCUCUCCAUCUGGGACCUGGCAGCCCCUACGCCCCGCAUCAAGGCUGAGCUCACCUCCUCUGCCCCCGCCUGCUACGCCCUGGCCAUCAGCCCCGAUGCCAAAGUCUGCUUCUCCUGCUGCAGCGACGGCAACAUCGUGGUGUGGGACCUGCAGAACCAGACCAUGGUGAGUUUCAAGGUCACACGGAUGGUGCCAGCUGCAUCGACAUCUCCAACGAUGGCACCAAGCUAUGGACAGGGGGGCUGGACAACACGGUGCGGUGCUGGGACCUGCGGGAAGGGCGUCAGCUGCAGCAGCACGACUUCAGCUCCCAGAUCUUCUCCCUGGGGCACUGCCCGACGGGCGAGUGGCUGGCAGUGGGCAUGGAGAGCAGCAACGUGGAGAUCCUGCACGUCACCAAACCGGACAAGUACCAGCUGCACCUCCACGAGAGCUGCGUCCUCUCCCUCAAAUUCGCCUCGUGCGGGAAGUGGUUUGUGAGCACAGGGAAGGACAACCUGCUGAACGCUUGGCGAACGCCCUACGGAGCCAGCAUCUUCCAGUCUAAAGAGUCCUCAUCGGUGCUGAGCUGUGACAUCUCCGUCAACGACAAAUUCAUCGUUACGGGCUCUGGCAACAAGAAGGCCACGGUGUACGAGGUGGUGUACUGAGAUGCUGUCCAUCACCGUUCCUCAUCCAUAAGGGAAGCCAUCAGGGCUUGCCAAAGCUGGUGGGACUGGGGGAGACAGCCCUGCUCUCCCUCCUUCUGCUCCUCUUUUAGCCAAGGGCAGGGCUUCCCCUCCCAAGAUUCCUGCCCGACGUGUCACAGCAGUGAAGGGGACUGCUGGAGGUGAUGGGCAAUGUCCUCGUGGCCAAGCAUCCCCCCAAGAUGGGCUGGGGCAGGGGUUGGUCCAGGCAUCCUAGGACCUAUCUGUCCAUCAGGGCUGGAGCCGCCGUGAGACCGUGGGUGACUGAGAGAGUGUUGCUCCUGAAUUACUGCUACUGAUUUAAUGGCACCCAUUUUUUCUGCUCCAGAAACAGCUGUAAAUUAUCAGUGAUGUAUUUAACUGUGUUUUCGAGCCCUUACUAAUAAAAAGGAACAAAAGAAGGGCUGCUCUGGUGCUGGGAUGAGGGCUGAUCUUACUGCAGGACUGAUGGAAACCCAUCCCUGGGGAGC